rnacentral:rRNA from 1 species
GAACCUGAAACCGUGUACGUACAAGCAGUGGGAGCACGCUUAGGCGUGUGACUGCGUACCUUUUGUAUAAUGGGUCAGCGACUUAUAUUCUGUAGCAAGGUUAACCGAAUAGGGGAGCCGAAGGGAAACCGAGUCUUAACUGGGCGUUAAGUUGCAGGGUAUAGACCCGAAACCCGGUGAUCUAGCCAUGGGCAGGUUGAAGGUUGGGUAACACUAACUGGAGGACCGAACCGACUAAUGUUGAAAAAUUAGCGGAUGACUUGUGGCUGGGGGUGAAAGGCCAAUCAAACCGGGAGAUAGCUGGUUCUCCCCGAAAGCUAUUUAGGUAGCGCCUCGUGAAUUCAUCUCCGGGGGUAGAGCACUGUUUCGGCAAGGGGGUCAUCCCGACUUACCAACCCGAUGCAAACUGCGAAUACCGGAGAAUGUUAUCACGGGAGACACACGGCGGGUGCUAACGUCCGUCGUGAAGAGGGAAACAACCCAGACCGCCAGCUAAGGUCCCAAAGUCAUGGUUAAGUGGGAAACGAUGUGGGAAGGCCCAGACAGCCAGGAUGUUGGCUUAGAAGCAGCCAUCAUUUAAAGAAAGCGUAAUAGCUCACUGGUCGAGUCGGCCUGCGCGGAAGAUGUAACGGGGCUAAACCAUGCACCGAAGCUGCGGCAGCGACACUAUGUGUUGUUGGGUAGGGGAGCGUUCUGUAAGCCUGCGAAGGUGUGCUGUGAGGCAUGCUGGAGGUAUCAGAAGUGCGAAUGCUGACAUAAGUAACGAUAAAGCGGGUGAAAAGCCCGCUCGCCGGAAGACCAAGGGUUCCUGUCCAACGUUAAUCGGGGCAGGGUGAGUCGACCCCUAAGGCGAGGCCGAAAGGCGUAGUCGAUGGGAAACAGGUUAAUAUUCCUGUACUUGGUGUUACUGCGAAGGGGGGACGGAGAAGGCUAUGUUGGCCGGGCGACGGUUGUCCCGGUUUAAGCGUGUAGGCUGGUUUUCCA